rnacentral:rRNA from 1 species
UUCGAGUGGCGGACGGGUGAGUAACGCGUGGGUAACCUGCCUUACACAGGGGGAUAACACCUGGAAACAGGUGCUAAUACCGCAUAAGCGCACAGGGCCGCAUGGCCCGGUGUGAAAAACUCCGGUGGUGUAAGAUGGACCCGCGUCUGAUUAGCUUGUUGGCGGGGUAGAGGCCCACCAAGGCGACGAUCAGUAGCCGGCCUGAGAGGGUGGACGGCCACAUUGGGACUGAGACACGGCCAAACUCCUACGGAAGGCAGCAG